rnacentral:rRNA from 1 species
CUCCUACGGGAGGCAGCAGUGGGGGAUAUUGCACAAUGGGCGAAAGCCUGAUGCAGCGACGCCGCGUGAGGGAAGACGGUCUUCGGAUUGUAAACCUCUGUCUUUGGGGAAGAAAAUGACGGUACCCAAAGAGGAAGCUCCGGCUAACUACGUGCCAGCAGCCGCGGUAAUACGUAGGUGGCAAGCGUUGUUCGGAAUAACUGGGCGUAAAGGAUGCGUAGGCGGUUAAACAAGUUAUAUGUUAAAUAUAUAGGCUUAACCUGUAGAAAGCAUAUAAAACUGUUUAACUAGAGUGCAGGAGAGGU